UUUAUUUAUAUUUUCAUUUAGCAUCUUUUAAUGAUAGUGAUCAAUCGAUCAUCUCAAAUAUAUCAAACGCAAUGUCAGGCAAAGUUGCAACUAACCAUCUUACCAUAAGCAAACUGUGUGACAUUCAAGGGGAAAGUUUGAAUGAGCUAAACUGCCAUUUACACGCUCUUGAUAUAAUUGCUACCUCAUGGCUGGGUAUGAUUGUAUGGCAUUUAAAAUAGUUUUGGCUAUGAACAAGUUGAGGUUUAAACAUGGCAAAGGUGAUUUAAAAAGAUUUGUUAGUUUUUAGCUGAUCAAAAACUACCACGAGGUAUCAUUCCAAGGUUGUGGGUAACCAUUACCACUCUAUUUAACAAACUUCUCAACUUACCAAAAUUUACGAAUAGCAGCGAAAAGACUUUUUUUUCAAAAGUAGGCUCGGUUGUGGUCUUUAUCUUUAGCUUGUAGAUUAUACUUGGUGCAAAAAGCCUAAUUCAGGUUUUAAAUUGUUAACUUAUUUUAAAUUGUUAACUCAUUGUCAGGUUUUAAAUUGUUAACUCAUUUUAAAAUAAUUAUAGUUGUUAUUAUAAAGAUUGAUUUAUUUUACUUAUUUAUUUUUUUAGGUUGGAGGGGGGGGGCACACGCCCCUCCCACAAGUCAAUAAGCACACCACCAAUAAAUGAAAUUCUUGUAGCAAAAAAAUUUUUUAUGUUUUUUAUACUGUGUACUAGUUUCACUUAUUUUAUUAAAUAUAGAAAUAUUUAUUUAUAAUUA